GCGGGUCCCCGGCCCCGGAAUCUGUGUGACCACGACGGAGUCCUAUAAAUGCUGGCGCCGCUACUACCAUGUUUUCUGGUACUGCAGGACGCCCGGAUGCCCCAAACCUGAGGCUGACGCCGCCAGGACCGUGGGGGUGGGGGGCUCGGCUGUCUUCAUUUUUCAAUAAAGCUGUUGGUCUU